rnacentral:rRNA from 1 species
GACGAACGCUGGCGGCGUGCUUAACACAUGCAAGUCGAACGAAGUGGCGAACGGGUGAGUAACGCGUAAUCAACCUGCCCUUCAGAGGGGGACAACAGUUGGAAACGACUGCUAAUACCGCAUACUGAAGGAGGGGAUUGCGUCUGAUUAGGUAGUUGGAGGGGUAACGGCCCAGCAAGGGGAUGAUCAGUAGCCGGUCGGACGGGGGGAACGGGCACAAUGGGACUGGGGAAAGGCCCAGACUCCUACGGGAGGCAGCAGUGGGGAAUCUUCCGAAAUGGACGAAAGUCUGACGGAGCAACGCCGCGUGAGUGAUGACGGCCUUCGGGUUGUAAAGCUCUGUUAAUCGGGACGCGGUACCGGAAUAGAAAGCCACGGCUAACUACGUGCCAGCAGCCGCGGUAAUAC